rnacentral:misc_RNA from 1 species
GAUGAAGAACGUAGCGAAAUGCGAUAAGUAAUGUGAAUUGCAGAAUUCAGUGAAUCAUCGAAUCUUUGAACGCACAUUGCGCCCGCCAGCACUCUGGCGGGCAUGCCUGUCCGAGCGUCAUUUCAACCCUCAGGGCCCCUUCGGGGGACCUGGCGUUGGGGAUCGGCCCGCCCCCGUGCGGCGCCGUCCCCGAAAUAUAGUGGCGGUCUCGCUGCAGCCUCCCUUGCGUAGUAGCACACCUCGCACUGGAGAGCGGCGCGGCCACGCCGUGAAACCCCCAACUUCUGAAUGUUGACCUCGGAUCAGGUAGGAAUACCCGCUGAACUUAAGCAUAUCAAUAAGCGGAGGA